AAUUGCUAGUAAUCGCGAAUCAGAAUGUCGCGGUGAAUACGUUCCCGGGCCUUGUACACACCGCCCGUCACACCAUGAGAGUCGAUAACACCCGAAGCCUGUGAGCUAACCGUAAGGAGGCAGCAGUCGAAGGUGGGGUUGAUGAUUGGGGUGAAGUCGUAACAAGGUACC
rnacentral:rRNA from 1 species